rnacentral:rRNA from 1 species
AUUCGAACGCUGGCGGCAUGCCUUACACAUGCAAGUCGAACGGCAGCACGGGAGCAAUCCUGGUGGCGAGUGGCGAACGGGUGAGUAAUAUAUCGGAACGUGCCCAGUAGUGGGGGAUAGCCCGGCGAAAGCCGGAUUAAUACCGCAUGAGACCUGAGGGUGAAAGCGGGGGAUCGCAAGACCUCGCGCUACUGGAGCGGCCGAUAUCGGAUUAGCUAGUUGGUGGGGUAAAGGCUCACCAAGGCGACGAUCCGUAGCGGGUCUGAGAGGACGACCCGCCACACUGGAACUGAGACACGGUCCAGACUCCUACGGGAGGCAGCAGUAAGGAAUCUUCCACAAUGGGCGAAAGCCUGAUGGAGCAACGCCGCGUGCAGGAUGAAGGCCUUCGGGUCGUAAACUGCUUUUAUGAGUGAAGAAUAUGACGGUAACUCAUGAAUAAGCACCGGCUAACUACGUG